CAGAAGAACUGCAUGGUAGAAAACCAGCUAGAAGGCAUGGACUUUAAGAAUAUAAAAACAACAAUAUGGGACUCUAGAAAUAUGAAAUAUAACAACAACUGUCCCAGUGCCUGACUGGUCACCUUGGAUUCGGCAGUGUGUAGUAUCCCUGUGAGUGCCUGCUCGCUGCCCUGAGCUGGUCAUUUGAUACCUCCCCGGUGCUCCUGGGAGGCCUAAAAUGGAGCAGCGCCGGAUUAGAUGUACCCAGUGCCCUUGGUGAGCUCCGCCGAGAUACGAUCCUCGAUCCUCGCCCUCCCGCCUCCGACCUGCUGGCGCCCAGCGCCGUCGCCACAGCAACGAGGAGCAGCAGCCCAUCCGCAUGGAAACGGCCUUGCCGUGCCCGCCAGCGCCGGGGGACAGCGCUUCAAACAGCCGGCUCCGAAAGAAAUUCUGGAUGGAGCUAGGACAGCAAUAAUACAUCACAGACCCACAACAAGCUCCUGCUGCUUGUGGAUACACAGAGGACCCUGGAAAAUCCAGUUUGUGGUGCACAAGGCAGGGCCAAAGAGACUGCAAGCAUCAAACCUGGCAAGAUCCCAGCAGCCCCUUUAGAAAGUGAGGUGCUUUCCUUUGCCAAGAGCAGUGGCAGGUCAGUACAGCUUGGGUGAAACAAAGCACUGCAACAGAUCUGUGCCAGGAAUCAGGAAUGGAUCCAGGCUGGUGCUCUGUGAACAGGGAGAGCUGCCUCUGACAUGUAGCUCUGAGCCAGGGGGAAGGAAAGAGUUACCCCACACCUUGUUUCCCAAUGUGAGCAGUGAGACAAAGAGGGAAGGAAGAUGACCUGACCCUGUGCAGUUGUUUACUACAGAUGACUACAAGGAGAUUGAGAUCUCAGGCUCUCCUUCUGUCUGACAAGGGCACUAAUGGCAUGGAGGGCUAGACAAGAGCCACAUAUGGUGGUAAGAGGAA